rnacentral:sRNA from 1 species
AUUAUCAGAACUCUGACUAAAAACGACACGUCCUGCGGCAACGUCUGAGUGACCCGCAUCGUGCGGG